AGUGAACGCUGGCGGUAGGCCUAACACAUGCAAGUCGAACGGCAGCACAGUAAGAGGUUGCUCUUACGGGUGGCGAGUGGCGGACGGGUGAGGAAUACAUCGGAAUCUACUUUUUCGUGGGGGAUAACGUAGGGAAACUUACGCUAAUACCGCAUACGACCUACGGGUGAAAGCAGGGGAUCUUCGGACCUUGCGCGAUUGAAUGAGCCGAUGUCGGAUUAGCUAGUUGGCGGGGUAAAGGCCCACCAAGGCGACGAUCCGUAGCUGGUCUGAGAGGAUGAUCAGCCACACUGGAACUGAGACACGGUCCAGACUCCUACGGGAGGCAGCAGUGGGGAAUAUUGGACAAUGGGCGCAAGCCUGAUCCAGCCAUACCGCGUGGGUGAAGAAGGCCUUCGGGUUGUAAAGCCCUUUUGUUGGGAAAGAAAAGCAGCAGGUUAAUACCCCGCUGUUCUGACGGUACCCAAAGAAUAAGCACCGGCUAACUUCGUG
rnacentral:rRNA from 1 species